UACGUAGGGGGCUAGCGUUGUCCGGAAUCAUUGGGCGUAAAGCGCGUGUAGGCGGUCCGGUAAGUCCGCUGUGAAAGUCGGGGGGCUCAACCCUCGAAUGCCGGUGGAUACUGUCGGGCUAGAGUGCGGAAGAGGCGAGUGGAAUUCCUGGUGUAGCGGUGAAAUGCGCAGAUAUCAGGAGGAACACCGGUGGCGAAGGCGGGGUCUCUGGGCCGAUACUGACGCUGAGGAGCGAAAAGCGUGGGGGAGCGAACAGG
rnacentral:rRNA from 1 species